ensembl:lncRNA novel transcript, antisense to DLGAP1
CAAUGUUUUGGCCCUACUGGUGAAAAUAUGUAGACCUAACAUCUAUCUCCCUGCUCCAGUUUCAAGAGAAAAGACCUUAUUCAGAGAAAUAUUUAGAAGACUCUUGUGGAAUUCUUGCUGUGAGUGGUUUUUCCUUCCCUGCCAUUGGUGCGACUGUUUCCCCCUUCCGUCAAAUUGCUGUCUAGAUGUUUCUCUCUGACCCCAAUUUUCUCGGAGUUUGGGAUUAUCAAUCUAAAAUCAGAGGAAGAAGCUUAAAUGACUCUUCUUGCUCACAUACUUCCUGGGCAAACAUGUCUGCUCUGUUGGGAUAAAGGACGCUCUAGACCAGGCUCUGCUGAAAGAUCCAGGGCAAAGGUUCCUGACAAGACUAUGUCCAGCCUCAAAUAAGGCCACAGAAGAGCCCAGGCUCGCUGACGAGCACCGGCUCCGAGGCAGUCACAUCAGGAGACAGAAACAGACAUGUUGGUGCUGCCCUCUCAGGUCAGUGCAAAUGCCACUUGAGGAGGGCUGAGAGCUUUGCAGCAUAAAAUGACCAGAACAAGGAGAAACACAGAUGCAAUGGCAAUAGCUGGCAAUUCGCACAUGGCGUCAAACACCACUGCCACAGAAGCUUUUUAGCUACAAGCCACGCUAUGCAACCUUUAAGCAAAACAUUAUUGAUUUUGUGGUUGUAAAAACAUACCUUCAACUGCAGAACUCAGUUUUAUGACACCUUGAAUAAAAACAAAAAGUGGCAGUUAUAUAAUGGACCCAAAUCGCCUUUUCCAGGCUUCUCAUAACACACGCAUGCUUCAGAUUUGGAUUUUUCUUUUUCUGCUGGCAUUGCAAGAACGUAACUAAACAAAUAUCAACUUCAAAAAUAAAAUAAUUUUUAGUCUUAA